rnacentral:snRNA from 1 species
UUGCUUUCGCAGCACAUACACUAAAAUUGGAACGAUACAGAGAAGAAUGGCCCCUGCGCAAGGAUGACACACAAAUUUGUGAAGCAUUCCAUAUUUUU